AAAAAGCUUCAAACUGGGAUUAGAUACCCCACUAUGCCAAAUCGUAAAAAUUUAAUCUACACCAACCAACGCCAGGGUACUACGAGCUUUAGCUUAAAACCCAAAGGACUUGGCGGUGUCCCACCCAACUAGAGGAGCCUGUUCUGUAAUCGAUGAUCCACGAUACACCUAACCACUUCUUGCCAAUCAGCCUGUAUACCUCCGUCGUAAGCUUACCGUGUGAACGCGCAACAGUAGGCCCAAGGGCUUUAACGCCAUAACGUCAGGUCAAGGUGCAGCUCAUGAGGUGGAAGCUAUGGGCUACAAUUUCUAAUCUAGAACAAACGAAAUACUACAUGAAACAUAGUCAUGAAGGCGGAUUUAGUAGUAAGUAGGAAAUAGAGAGUCCUACUAAACUCGGCCCUGGGACGUGUACACACCGCCCGUCACCCUC
rnacentral:rRNA from 1 species